AGCAACAAAGAAAGCAGGAAAGACCGGAUAAAGCGAUAAGGCUAUACACGAGUGACAUGGCGGUCAAGCUGACACAGGUCAGACAGAGUGUAUGAAGGAUAAACAUAAUCCGGCAAAACAGUUGAAGAAAGCAGGAACGGCAGGACAAGAAAGCACAGUGUUCAUACUACAGGAAGAAAAUGAACAGGUUGAGCCAAUCAACACUUUACUCCUAAACCAAGAAGCCGUUAAGCGGAAGAAUCAACGAGCGAGAGGACACAGUACUUUGUUGUU
rnacentral:ncRNA from 1 species